rnacentral:rRNA from 1 species
CUACGGGCCGCACCAGUGAGGAAUAUUGCACAAUGGGGGGAACCCUGAUGCAGCAACGCCGCGUGGAGGAUGACGCAUUUCGGUGUGUAAACUCCUUUUAUAUGUCAAGAAAAUGACGGUAGCAUAUGAAUAAGCACCGGCUAACUCCGUGCCAGCAGCCGCGGUAAUACGGAGGGUGCAAGCGUUACUCGGAAUCACUGGGCGUAAAGGAUGCGUAGGCGGGUUGGAAAGUCAGGUGUGAAAUCCUACAGCUUAACUGUAGAACUGCACUUGAAACUUCUAAUCUAGAGUAUGGGAGGGGGAGAUGGAAUUAGUGGUGUAGGGGUAAAAUCCGUAGAUAUCACUAGGAAUACCUAAAGCGAAGGCGAUCUCCUGGAACAUUACUGACGCUAAUGCGUGAAAGCGUGGGGAGCAAACAGGAUUAGAUACCCUCGUAGUC